rnacentral:rRNA from 1 species
CGCAUCUGUGCAUGCAGCAUAUCAAUAAGCGGAGGAAAAGGCUGCGGAACUGAACGACCGCUACCUACGCUUAGGAUGUUGACACACGCGCGUGCUCGAUCUAUACAUGACUCUGUGCAUAUCAAUAAGCGGAGGAAAAGAAACUAACAAGGAUUCCCUUAGUAACGGCGAGUGAAGCGGGAAGAGCUCAAAUUUGAAAUCUUCAAGGUUUUACCUUGACGAAUUGUAGUUUAAAGAAGUGUUUUCUGUUGAAGUUUUGGUAAAAGUUCUUUGGAAUAGGACAGUCAUAGAGGGUGAGAAUCCCGUAUUUGACCAUUAUUUUCAGCUGUGUGAUACACUUUCAAAGAGUCGGAUUGUUUGGGAAUGCAGUCCAAAAUGGGUGGUAAAUUUCAUCUAAGGCUAAAUAUUGGCGAGAGACCGAUAGCGAACAAGUACCGUGAGGGAAAGAUGAAAAGAACUUUGAAAAGAGAGUUAAACAGUACGUGAAAUUGUCAAAAGGGAAGCGUUUGACACCAGUGUUGUUUUCUCGAAAAUCAAUUAAAAAGAGUUUGAUUUUGUUGUGUAUUGACCUUAACAGCUUGCAUUUCAAUUUUCUUGCUUUUUUUAAUGCACUUUUCGUUUAACAAGUCAACAUCAGUUUCUUUUGUUGUAAAAAGGUCAUUGGAAGGUGGCUUUCUUUUCGGAGAAAGUGUUUAUAGCCUUUGACUCCUGUAAUCGGAGAGACCUGAGGUCUGCAGCGUAGAUCCUUCGGGGUUAGAUACAUUUGUGCUAAGUUAUAGCUUUUUAUAGACAACUUGUUGACUAUGAUUAGUCUUGUAGCUUACUCGCUUAUGCUAUUUUACCUACGCUUAGGAUGUUGACACACGCGCGUGCUCGAUCUAUACAUGACUCUGCGCAUAUCAAUAAGCGGAGGAAGAGGCGGCGGAGAGUACUGGUGUGGGCAUACCUACGCUUAGGAUGUUGACACACGCGCGUGCUCG